GAUGAAUGCUGGCGGCGUGCCUAACACAUGCAAGUCGAGCGGUAAGGCCCUUCGGGGUACACGAGCGGCGGACGGCUGAGUAACGCGUGGGAAUUUGCCCCAAAGUGAGGAAUAACUGCCCGAAAGGGUAGCUAAUGCCGCAUAUGGUCUUCGGAUUAAAGGAUUUAUCCGCUUUGGGAGGAGCCCGCGUUGGAUUAGGUUGUUGGUGAGGUAAUGGCUCACCAAGCCGACGAUCCAUAACUGGUCUGAGAGGAUGAUCAGUCAGACUGGAACUGAGACACGGUCCAGACUCCUACGGGAGGCAGCAGUGAGGAAUCUUCCACAAUGGGCGAAAGCCUGAUGGAGCAACGCCGCGUGAAGGAUGAAGGUCUUCGGAUUGCAAACUUCUUUUAUGAGUGAAGAAUAUGACGGUAACUCAUGAAUAAGCACCGGCUAACUACGUG
rnacentral:rRNA from 1 species